AAAGCAGGAAGAAAAUUGAUCUUGUUGUACAACGUAAACAGAGGCUGUCUGCUGUGAGUAUACCCUUUGGUGUGGAGUAACUUGCAAAAAUUAACCUGUGUAACCGUUGGAGACCUCCAGGAGAAGGAGGGCGGCCCUACCCCUACAAUAGUGUGGUGGGCGAGCCGUUAGAAGGUAAAUCCAAACAUCCACAACAACGAGACUUAUUUUGGUCGUAUUUUCCAUCGCCCCUAUCCCAGCCCAAGCGCAGUGGAGGACACCGGGCGCUUCCCUUGUUGUGUUGCACUUAUAGUGUGGUGAGUGAGACUUGCAAUUAAUAAGCUUUUCACGUUUGGAGUGGUGCUGUGUAUUUGCUGUGGGUUGCUGUGUGUCUUAUUAGACGAAGCCCCGCAUCAUCCAUUUCUUCUACUGGGCAGAGGACGGAGAGGCCAACGACCUCAGAAAUUACUGUUACCAUACGUAGUGUGCUGUUUCGGAGUACGAAGGGACGCAGACCAAGAGCUGUCAGUGACUGUGAGUAAACAUUGGAAAUAUUCGUGGUGUAAACUUACCUGUGUCUGUUUUGUCGCAGAGUUAGAGGCGAAAGGGUCCGCCGCCCCCGCGGUCUCUACAAAGGGGCGCCCCUGUCCAGGAUUCGAUCGGCCUACGGGCAGUGGAGAUAGGGCAGCGCUCGGCCCGGUGAGGUGGUGUGUGACCUUCGCCCCUCUGCUGACCUACGGAGGAAACCAUACCUACCCAGAAAGCUGUAAACAGCAGAGCCGCGGCCACCUGUGGAGAGAGAGAAGAACGAGAGUGAAUAAUUGAAGAACAGACCGUGAACGUGAUACCUACCCAGAAAGCUGUAAACAGCAGAGCCGGUGAGAAAUACUCGAAGUCCAAGUAACAGUGUCCUUGUGUCUUAGUGGCCGCCUGUGGAGAGAAAGGACAACGAGAGUGAACAAUUGGAGAGCAGACUGUGAACAUGAUACCUACCCAGAAAGCUGUAAACAGCAGAGCCGGUGAGAAAUACUCAAAGUCCAAGUAACAGUGUCUUUGUGUCUUAGUGGCCGCCUGCGAAGAAGAAGAACGAGAAUGAACAUGAGGAGAGUGGACUGUGUGAAGAUACAGUUGGUGGUGGAGGAGAGCCUAGAGUGGCCAUUAUUUUAAGUUCCCCGUUUUCCCUUCCCUAUAUAUCUUUUUAAGUAAAUUAAAUAAAGUACCUUUUUAAUAUUA